AACGAACGCUGGCGGCAGGCUUAACACAUGCAAGUCGAACGCCCCGCCAGGGGAGUGGCAGACGGGUGAGUAAAGCGUGGGAACAUACCCUUUCCUGCGGAAUAGCUCUGGGAAAAUGGAAUUAAUACAACAAACGCCCUACGGGGGAAAGAUUUAUCUGGGAAGGAUUGGCCCGCGUUGGAUUAGCUAGUUGGUGGGGUAAAGGCCUACCAAGGCGACGAUCCAUAGCUGGUCUGAGAGGAGGAUCAGCCACAUUGGGACUGAGACACGGCCCAAACUCCUACGGGAGGCAGCAGUGGGGAAUAUUGGACAAUGGGCGCAAGCCUGAUCCAGCCAUGCCGCGUGAGUGAUGAAGGCCUUAGGGUUGUAAAGCUCUUUCACCGAUGAAGAUAAUGACGGUAGUCGGAGAAGAAGCCCCGGCUAACUUCGUGCCAGCCGCCGCGGUAACAC
rnacentral:rRNA from 1 species